rnacentral:lncRNA from 1 species
AUAAAUUCCAUGCUUAUAAAAAAGGGAUAAUAAAAGUGCUAUUUUAAGAGGGUUUCAUGAAGAUUAAGAAUGUUGCGAGCCCUGUGUGAGGAUGGGCUUAUUUAAAAAUAUUAAGCAUCAGCAACAACUGCCCAGACACGGAAGACACAUGUUAACUACAUCAGUUAUCCCUCCACCUUUCCCCAGCUACAGAUGGGAAGUAGAUACUUAUCUUGUUUAAGCCACAUA